GGGGGGGGGGGGGGGGGGGGGGGGGGGGGGGGGGGGGGGGGGGGGGGGGGGGGGGGGGACUGGUUCUUACCGGUUUCCCAGACAUCCGGCUGCAGGUGCGGGCCGAGUACUGCGAGCACGAGCGCUGUGCUCGUACUGGUCCAUACUGGCCCAUACUGUGUUGUACUGGUCCGUACUGGUCCAUACUGUGUUAUACUGGUCUAUACUGGUCCAUACUGGUCCGUACUGUGUUAUACUGGUCUAUACUGGUCCGUACCGGUUUUGACUGGUUCUUACCGGUUUCCCAGACAUCCGGCUGCGGGUGCGCGCCGAGUACUGCGAGCACGAGCGCUGUGCUUGUACUGGGUUAUACUGGUCCAUACUGGCGCAUACUGUGUUAUACUGGUCCGUACUGGUCAGUACUGGUUUUAACUGGUUCUUACAGGUUUCCCAGACAUCCGGCUGCGGGUGCGGGCCGAGUACUGCGAGCACGAGCGCUGUGCUGGGGGGGGGGGGGGGGGGGGGGGGGGGGGGGGGGGGGGGGGGGGGGGGGGGGGGGGGGGGGGGGGGGGGGGGGGGGGGGGGGGGGGGGGGGGGGGGGGGGGGGGGGGGGGGGGGGGGGGUCCAUACUGGUCCAUACUGGUCCGUACUGGUUUUGACUGGUUUUAACUGGUUCUUACAGGUUUCCCAGACAUCCGGCUGCGGGUGCGGGCCGAGUACUGCGAGCACGAGCGCUGUGCUCACACUGGGUGAUACUGGUCCAUACUGUAUUAUACUGGUCUAUACUGGUCCAUACUGGUCCAUACUGGUCCGUACUGGUUUUGACUGGUUCUUCCCGGUUUCCCAGACAUCCGGCUGCGGGUGCGGGCCGAGUACUGCGAGCACGAGCGGGCGCUGCGCCGGCAGGUGUGGUCCAGCCGGCCGCGGGGGCCGGGCCGGGCGCUGGACGUCUUCGGGCAGGCCAGCGGCGUGCUGAAGGCGCGGGACCUGGGCUCCAUCCUGUGCGACAUCAAGUUCUCGGAGCUGUCGUACCUGGAGGCGUUUUGGGGGGAUUACCUGAGCGGGGCGCUGCUGGAGGCGCUCAAGGGCGUCUUCCUGACGGAGGGGCUGCGGCGCGCCGUGGGCCGCGAGGAGGUGCGGCUGCUGGUCAGCGUGGACCAGGAC
rnacentral:lncRNA from 12 species